rnacentral:rRNA from 1 species
UACGUAGGGUGCAAGCGUUGUCCGGAAUUAUUGGGCGUAAAGAGCUUGUAGGCGGUUUGUCGCGUCUGCUGUGAAAUUUCGGGGCUCAACCCCGAACUUGCAGUGGGUACGGGCAGACUAGAGUGUGGUAGGGGAGACUGGAAUUCCUGGUGUAGCGGUGAAAUGCGCAGAUAUCAGGAGGAACAUCAGUGGCGAAGGCGGCUGCCUGGCCCAAUACUGACACUCAGGUGCGACAGCGUGGGGAGCAAACAGG